rnacentral:sRNA from 1 species
GGGUGUGAUUUUUCUCCAAAACCAUUUCCUCUCUCUAAAACUUCAACAAAUACUUCCUGACUUCUCUCUAGAUUUCCAGCACCUGGAACCAUAGGAAUUCAAUUCUGAUGCUACCAUGGCCUCCGCGGAGUAGAGGGCUUCAUUUCAACCGAACGUUUUCGUCGUUCUGAUCAGGGCAGAGUUCUUGGCUGUAGGAUGGUUGUGCUUGGAGAAAACCAGAUGUUGUCGCGGAGAUUCCCUUGGAGCAAGAGCUGAAGGUUACUGAUGUUGCGAAGUAGUCUUCUUAGAAUUUCCUGAUUGAACACUUGUAGUGUUUAAUCCUUUCAACUGUUCAAGUUUAAAAUUUUUGUUUCUUUUAUUUCUGGAUGACUGUAAUUUCACAUUUAAUUAC